rnacentral:rRNA from 1 species
UACGAAGGGGGCUAGCGUUGCUCGGAAUCACUGGGCGUAAAGCGCACGUAGGCGGCUUUCUAAGUCGGGGGUGAAAUCCUGGAGCUCAACUCCAGAACUGCCUUUGAUACUGGAGAGCUUGAGUCCGGAAGAGGUGAGUGGAACUCCGAGUGUAGAGGUGAAAUUCGUAGAUAUUCGGAAGAACACCAGUGGCGAAGGCGGCUCUCUGGUCCGGUACUGACGCUGAGGUGCGAAAGCGUGGGGAGCAAACAGG